UCUCCGUAGGUGAACCUGCGGAGGGAUCAUUACAGAGUUCGUGCCCUCGCGGGUAGAUCUCCCACCCUGUGUUAUUGCUACCUUUGUUGCUUUGGCGGGCCGCCCUCGGCUACUGGCCCCGGCUGGUACGCGCCCGCCAGAGGACCCCAAACCCUGAACGUCAGUGUCGUCUGAGUACUAUACAAUAGUUAAAACUUUCAACAACGGAUCUCUUGGUUCUG
rnacentral:misc_RNA from 1 species